CAUAAGCCUGCAGUGUGCGUUGGCACAACUCAGAACGCACACAGUCAUCUUUACCAAACCGCACAACGCCAAUCAUAUCGUCGUUAGCAAAGCGCGCCAGCGCAUCACUUAACCCGGAAGCUACGCCACGGGGUAAAUCGCACUGGGUGACAUCCCCGUUAACGAUAACCGUGACAUUUUCCCCCAGGCGGGUC
rnacentral:antisense_RNA from 1 species